rnacentral:rRNA from 1 species
GACGAACGCUGGCGGCGUGCUUAACACAUGCAAGUCGAACGGAAAGGCCCUGCUUUUGUGGGGUGCUCGAGUGGCGAACGGGUGAGUAACACGUGAGUAACCUGCCCUUGACUUUGGGAUAACUUCAGGAAACUGGGGCUAAUACCGGAUAGGAGCUCCUGCUGCAUGGUGGGGGUUGGAAAGUUUCGGCGGUUGGGGAUGGACUCGCGGCUUAUCAGCUUGUUGGUGGGGUAGUGGCUUACCAAGGCUUUGACGGGUAGCCGGCCUGAGAGGGUGACCGGCCACAUUGGGACUGAGAUACGGCCCAGACUCCUACGGGAGGCAGCAGUGGGGAAUAUUGCACAAUGGGCGGAAGCCUGAUGCAGCAACGCCGCGUGCGGGAUGACGGCCUUCGGGUUGUAAACCGCUUUCGCCUGUGACGAAGCGUGAGUGACGGUAAUGGGUAAAGAAGCACCGGCUAACUACGUGCCAGCAGCCGCGGUGAUACGUAGGGUGCGAGCGUUGUCCGGAUUUAUUGGGCGUAAAGGGCUCGUAGGUGGUUGAUCGCGUCGGAAGUGUAAUCUUGGGGCUUAACCCUGAGCGUGCUUUCGAUACGGGUUGACUUGAGGAAGGUAGGGGAGAAUGGAAUUCCUGGUGGAGCGGUGGAAUGCGCAGAUAUCAGGAGGAACACCAGUGGCGAAGGCGGUUCUCUGGGCCUUUCCUGACGCUGAGGAGCGAAAGCGUGGGGAGCGAACAGGCUUAGAUACCCUGGUAGUCCACGCUGUAAACGGUGGGUACUAGGUGUGGGGUCCAUUCCACGGGUUCCGUGCCGUAGCUAACGCUUUAAGUACCCCGCCUGGGGAGUACGGCCGCAAGGCUAAAACUCAAAGGAAUUGACGGGGCCCCGCACAAGCGGCGGAGCAUGCGGAUUAAUUCGAUGCAACGCGUAGAACCUUACCUGGGUUUGACAUGGAUCGGGAGUGCUCAGAGAUGGGUGUGCCUCUUUUGGGGUCGGUUCACAGGUGGUGCAUGGCUGUCGUCAGCUCGUGUCGUGAGAUGUUGGGUUAAGUCCCGCAACGAGCGCAACCCUUGUUCACUGUUGCCAGCACGUUAUGGUGGGGACUCAGUGGAGACCGCCGGGGUCAACUCGGAGGAAGGUGGGGAUGACGUCAAGUCAUCAUGCCCCUUAUGUCCAGGGCUUCACGCAUGCUACAAUGGCUGGUACAGAGAGUGGCGAGCCUGUGAGGGUGAGCGAAUCUCGGAAAGCCGGUCUCGGUUCGGAUUGGGGUCUGCAACUCGACCUCAUGAAGUCGGAGUCGCUAGUAAUCGCAGAUCAGCAACGCUGCGGUGAAUACGUUCCCGGG